GCUCUAUUUGUCUUGGUCUUUACAGAUAACAUUCAAGUCCUCCGAAUGGUGCUUCAGCAGGACCCAAUCCUCCUGCAGUUUCCUUUUCUCCUGCUUCAGCAUGUCCACCUUCUUGUGCACCUGAGUCUCUUCCAUCAGGAGCCAGCUGUGUAGACCUCUGGAGACACACUCUGCAUUGUAAGGCCCUGCAGCCUCCCUCUGCCACCCCUGCCUCCAGUAACCACCACCCCAAAUGGCCUCAUGUUUCCAGAAAGACACAGCCAAGAGUCUGAUUCAGAUGUGACGACUGAACUCAGGAGGCCAAAAUGAGGAAAAAGAUACUACCAGAAGGGAGAGUCACCAGAAGAUUGGCAGCCUAUGAUCACUGAAGCUGCCUAUUCUCAGCAAGUCCAACAAGGAGUCCUGUGCCAGGGGGUCACAUCAAACACAAGGGACCCAGACAGCAAGGCUGCAGCCGGAAGCCAAAGGAUGGCAUGUUCAGUGCAGAGACAUAGCUGCUUCCCCUGCCCCCACUGGAUCUCCUGGAACUUUGCAAAUCAGAUAAGCCACAGGAAAUGGAACUAACCCCCUCAAGUCUAUACAGAGCACCACUCCCAUCACAAUGAGAUUCACGACUGUGAAGUUUCAUGGACCCAUCAUCCUGCUUGAACUGCAGCUUUGAGUAGAGCAGCAGGGUUUGUUUGCCAAUUGAUACUCACAAGAGAGUGACUCCACAGAACUACUGAUGCAUGGACACAGAAAUGAACAGAUGGAUGUCAUUAAAGCAGAGGAUGGUGAGUGUGUGUGUGUGUGUGUGUGUGUGUGUGUAAAGUUCUAAGAUAAACCACAAUUGUGUUGAUGGACAGACAGCCUUAUGCUCCAUGAAGAAAUAAAGAUGGA